CCUACGGGAGGCAGCAGUGAGGAAUAUUGGUCAAUGGACGAGAGUCUGAACCAGCCAAGUCGCGUGAAGGAUGACUGCCCUAUGGAUUGUAAACUUCUUUUAUAGAGGAAUAAAACGAGGCACGUGUGCCUUUGUGCAUGUACUUUAUGAAUAAAGCUCGGCUAACUCCGUGCCAGCAACCGCGGUAAUACGGAGGAUACGAGGGUUAGCCGGAUUUAUUGGGUUUAAAGGGAGCGUAGAUGGGUUGUUAAGGCAGUUGUGAAAGUUUGCGGCUCAAACGUAAAAUUGCAAUUGAAACUGGCAGUCUUGAGUACACUUGAGGUAGGCGGAAUGCGUGGUGUAGCGGUGAAAUGCUUAGAUAUCACGAAGAACCCCGAUUGCGAAGGCAGCUUACUAACCUGUGACUGACAUUGAUGCUCGAAAGUGUGGGUAUCAAACAGGAUUAGAUACCCCUGUAGUC
rnacentral:rRNA from 1 species